rnacentral:rRNA from 1 species
GAUGAACGCUGGCGGCGUGCCUAAUACAUGCAAGUCGAGCGAACGGACGAGAAGCUUGCUUCUCUGAUGUUAGCGGCGGACGGGUGAGUAACACGUGGAUAACCUACCUAUAAGACUGGGAUAACUCCGGGAAACCGGAGCUAAUACCGGAUGAUAUUUUGAACCGCAUGGUUCAAAAGUGAAAGACGGUCUUGCUGUCACUUAUAGAUGGAUCCGCGCUGCAUUAGCUAGUUGGUAAGGUAACGGCUUACCAAGGCAACGAUGCAUAGCCGACCUGAGAGAGUGAUCGGCCACACUGGAACUGAGACACGGUCCAGACUCCUACGGGAGGCAGCAGUAGGGAAUCUUCCGCAAUGGGCGAAAGCCUGACGGAGCAACGCCGCGUGAGUGAUGAAGGUCUUCGGAUCGUAAAACUCUGUUAUUAGGGAAGAACAUAUGUGUAAGUAACUGUGCACAUCUUGACGGUACCUAAUCAGAAAGCCACGGCUAACUACGUG